rnacentral:lncRNA from 1 species
UUUUUUUUUUUUUUUUUUUUUUUUUUUUGUUUACUGUGGUUGAAUGUUUUGCCUGCGUGUAUAGAUGUGUGCCACAAGGCCACCUGGAGGCCAGAAGAGGGUUUCAGUUUCCCUGGGACUGAAGUCACGGAUGGCUGUGAACCACUCUGUGUGUGCUGGGAAUCAAACCUGGAUCUUGGAAAGAUGGUGCUGUUAGCCACUGAGGUACCGCUCCAGUCCCUCGUUGAUUGUUUGAGACAGGGUCUUUGUAGCCCAGGCUGGCCUUGAGAGUGUUCUCAGUUAUAAAUACCUUUACCUUCUAAUACCCUACUCUCUGUUUCCUGAGUAUGAACAUUACAGGUGUGUUCAACCGUCCCUGGCCACCACCUUAAUCUUAAAACGCAAAGGCUGACAUACUGAGAUGCCAUAUACCAACUGACAAAUCCUGACUGCUACCUUCUCCCAGCCUCCAGCCUGCAGGCCUUUCACUUUUGGACCAGACCUGUCUUUGAAGUUGAGCUCCCAACAGCGUGUUCCACAGUAGAAGGAUGGACACCAAGCUGCAGGACUGAGGACGGGCCUUCACUCCCUGGGCUGUAAGAACCAGCUCUUACAGAAGGUUACUAAGAAGGUUACUAAGGUUCUUUGAUCUGCAGAGGACCCUUAGAAGGCCCCUUUGAAAUGACCAGCUAGGGGCUUAGAUAUGACUUUGUUAGGGAGAGCAGGCCCUCUUUGAGGACCAGGGACAUGUGCACAGGCAUAGCCCAGACCCCGCUUCCUCAGCAAACCUUCUGCAGUGGAGGACAGGGUAGUACAGUACCCAACAGUCAAUCCUUCUGCAUGAGUCAGAGCUGUGUGACUUUGAGCCCAUGGAGCCCCCAUGAUCUGUCUACAGAGCUGAAGCAGUUCAGGGAAUGUGGCUGCUCUGGUGGUGAACAGCUUUCUGGUCUCUGCAGACAUCUUAUGUUCUAGAUAGGGGCACUGGGAGGCUGAGCCUCACUGUUAGUGGCCAGAGGAGGGACCAUCAAGGCCACUCUUGUGGAAAGAAGAGAAGGCCACUGCCUGCAGACAGCUCCAGGACAAGCCCUCAUCUAAAGUCCAAAGGAAUAAGAUUUUAUUCUGGCCAGAAAAUGCUAAAAAUUUUUAUCUGUGGUAUGGGGGUGGGGUCUCCAGGCAAAGAUAAAUGAGUCGCCUGUGUUGGGACUGGCCCAGCCCCAUUUGGACACCAUUGCAAAAAGAAAAGGUGAGUUGGCUGGGGGUGGCCUCAGGCAUCAAGCUGGUAUUGCCUAGAGACCAUAGGGAGCGUUGGAAACAGAAGCACCCAGCACCCCUACAUACUGAUGGCCUCCCAAGCCAAGGGUUUCUUCCCUCCACACCAAGAUCCCCUCUCCCAGCUCUUAGGAAGCACCAUCCUUCCACCACCACCACCACCUCAGCUCCUCACUCAGCCAGAACUGUCUGAGGUGGGCUGGAACCUGUGUUCAGGAGGUGUGUGUGUGUGUGUGUGUGUGUGUGUGAGAGAGAGAGAGAGAGAGAGAGAGAGAAAGAGAGAGAGAGAGAAGUGGGGUAGAACUGUCAUCAUCAGAGAAGGGGGAGGAGAGGAGGCAAAGGAGAACUGUGAGGGAGUGAGUAAACUUAAGAGGAGCAAGGACAGCCAGUAGGAGGACUAGCCCAGCUUGAGCGCCUGGGUUGUACCUGCACCUCCAUUUCACAUCAUGUCUCAUCUUGUCUCACCACAGAGACCUGGGAACUGGGGCGUGCUGUUCUUGAAUGGGCUGUGAACCUGCUGGGCUUGGAGCAGUCUUGGAAUACUCCACCUUGCAGGGCACCUGCAGUCCUAGACUACACCAAGGGUGCUAUACUAGUCUUGUGGAUUAGUUAAGACAUAAAAACAAUUAAAUGGUUAAUUAAU